CACGUAUGUAUAUACACACAUACAAUACAUAUAUAAUAAAUACACACACACACACACACACACAUAUAUAUAAUUACGAAGAUAAUGAAAAAAGAAAAGGAAAGACCUGUUGUGAGUGCUUUGAUGAGGCCAGCUCGACGGCCUUUGAAAUCGUUGUAGACUUCCUCUACGGUUCUCGGUAUCGGAUGCGGAAUUCCUUCCAUGUCCUACUACUCCUUCUGGCCAAUUUCCAGUCCUUGUUGUUCUGCUAUUUGACGGACCACCACACAAAAACCCCUAAAAAUUUAAACGCUUUUCUGGCGUAAUUGAUCACAAAAUAGUAAAAUUAGGGUUUUGUUGACGAGGCUAGGGUUUCUUCCACACGAUUUCCAGUUAAUUAUAACAGAUAGUAAAAGUAAAAUCGCUAUAAAUAUUUUGAUCGCAAGAGAGAUAUAUUGGAAUCUGAGAGAGGAAAAUACGGAUGAGAGUGUGUGUGUGAAAGAGAUGAGGGGACUGAGGAGAGAGAGA
rnacentral:lncRNA from 1 species